UACGGAAGGCAGCAGUGGGGAAUAUUGCACAAUGGGCGCAAGCCUGAUGCAGCCAUGCCGCGUGUAUGAAAAAGGCCUUCGGGUUGUAAAGUACUUUCAGUCGUGAGGAAGGUGUUAAGGUUAAUAACCUUAGCAAUUGACGUUAGCGACAGAAGAAGCACCGGCUAACUCCGUGCCAGCAGCCGCGGUAAUACGGAGGGUGCGAGCGUUAAUCGGAAUUACUGGGCGUAAAGGGCACGCAGGCGGUUAAUUAAGUUGGAUGUGAAAUCCCCGGGCUUAACCUGGGAAUGGCAUUCAAGACUGGUUAGCUAGAGUCUUGUAGAGGGGGUUAGAAUUCCAUGUGUAGCGGUGAAAUGCGUAGAGAUGUGGAGGAAUACCGGUGGCGAAGGCGGCCCCUGGACAAAGGCUGACGCUCAUGUGCGAAAGCGUGGGGAGCAAACG
rnacentral:rRNA from 1 species